GGCGUUUGGAGUAAUAAACUAUCAUGCUCAGCUAUUUCACCAGAAAUAUGAUAAGGUAAGCCACAGUUAGCAAAGGGAACAUAUGGUCCUUUUUCGAAUACGAUGAUUUCAGCGUCUUCCAUGAGACGACGUAGACGGGUAGCAGCAGACAUACCGCCAGCAACUCCAC
rnacentral:antisense_RNA from 1 species